GAGUCCCAAACAGGACGAAACGCGCGUCCUGGAU
rfam:Schistosoma mattheei strain Denwood, Zambia genome assembly, scaffold: SMTD_scaffold0001807